GGCUUUUAAAAUUUUGUCUUAUGAAGACAACUAAAGUAUCUUGACUCAGAGACAUUUACCUGAGGGUUUUUCAUUUUCAGUAAUUUCCUAAUUCAUGUCAUUGCUUAUAUUUUGCUGUCAAACCUGGACUGUGAUCACUGAAUAAUGAUGGUGGAGAUAGAUAGAGGAACAUUGUUGGUGGAGGAAAGAUGGAUCUAAACUUUUUCUCUUCUGAGAAGUCUUUAUCUUCCUCAACACUACCUUUUUGGGGUUAGUGGGAGGGGUAUAAUAUUUUGAUAUUGCCAAUUGUCUGUUCUAGAUCGUUUGUCUGUUAGUGACAAAUAUAGAACAACCGUCUUAAAUCAACAAAAUUUGGUAUGCCAGAUAAGAGAUAGUCAUUGGACCUGAAGCUUCUGCCUCAUUCUUUAAAACUGAAGAUCAUAUCAAAAUGUACAAAAUCACAGGUGAUUCCCUCCACCUGCCAAGAUCUUAUAAAUGUCUAUGGCUGGAGGUGAGACCUGUGUGUCAAGCCUCCCAGAAUCACCUCUUCUGUGAGUUUUCCCUGGACCUUACAACUGAAAGAUUUUCUUCACAGUUUCUUCCAUAGUCCCUCUUAAAGAACACAUCACUUUCCACCAUUUGAAACUGUGGGGUGUACAUAUACUACUCUCUGUAUCUGAAAAUGAACAUUACAAUGCCAGCAACCUUGCCUGUUCACCCUGAGUUGUCUUUACUUCUGAUCCCUUAGUAUGUUUUGCCUAACUGAAGAAAGAGAAGAAUGUCAAAUUUGAAGUGAGACGUACUGACUGUCUUGCCAAAAAUCUCUCCUCCCUUUCCUACUCAUCCCUACCUACAAUCCCCUACCACCCAGAACUCAGUGAGAGGAACACUUAUCUGCUCCUUUGAGGCCUGAGGUAACUAAAGUCUUUGAUAAAAGGACAAACAGA